rnacentral:rRNA from 1 species
AAUGAACGUUGGCGGCGUGGAUUAGGCAUGCAAGUCGUGCGCGAAACGUAGCAAUACGUGGAGAGCGGCGAAAGGGAGAGUACAACACGGUUAGCUACCCUCGGGACUGGGAUAGCGGCGGGAAACUGCCGGUAAUACCAGAUGACGUCUUCGGACCAAACGUGUAAACCGGCCCGAGGAGGCGACCGUGUCCUAUCAGCUAGUUGGCGGUGUAAUGGACCACCAAGGCUAAGACGGGUAUGGGGCGUGAGAGCGUGCCCCCACUCACUGGGACUGAGACACUGCCCAGAAACCGACGGGUGGCUGCAGUCGAGAAUCUUCGGCAAUGGGCGCAAGCCUGACCGAGCGACGCCGCGUGCGGGAUGAAGGCCUUCGGGUUGUAAACCGCUGUCGUAGGGGAGGAAGGUCUGGUGUAGAGCCAGGCUUGACCGAUCCUAGGAGGAAGGGCCGGCUAAUCUCGUGCCAGCCGCCGCAGUAAUAC